rnacentral:lncRNA from 1 species
UGUGCAUACAGAGGCAAGACCAUAUGAGAAUACAGCAAGGAGGGGGCCACCUGCAAGACAGAAAGAGGCGCCUCACUAGAAACCAAUCCUGUUGGCACCUUGAUCUUAGACUUCUAGCUGCCAGAACUAGAACGGGACCACCCAUCUUGAUGUACUAUUUGUGCAAAUAAUGGAAAAGCAUCCCUGUCUCAAGACACUUGACAAUAACCUGCUAGAAAAUUGUCAUAACAAACACACAAUGGGCAUUUAUCAAGAGACAAGAGAAAUGGCUUAGACAGAUCUCAACUUCAUCCAACUGUUUUUCAAUCCCUCGUGAUAAAUUUCUGCAUAAGAUGAAGAAGCAUGGUCUAGUUAACCGUGGAGCUACGUGCAGUUAUUUUUAAAAUCUGUAAGGUAUG